rnacentral:rRNA from 1 species
UACAUAGGUCCCAAGCGUUGUUCGGAUUCACUGGGCGUAAAGGGUGCGUAGGCGGUCGGGUAAGUCUGAUGUGAAAUCUCACAGCUUAACUGUGAAACUGCAUUGGAUACUAUCCGGCUAGAGGAAUGGAGGGGAGACUGGAAUACUUGGUGUAGCAGUGAAAUGCGUAGAUAUCAAGUGGAACACCGGUGGCGAAGGCGAGUCUCUGGACAUUUCCUGACGCUGAGGCACGAAAGCCAGGGGAGCAAACGGG